UCUGUUAAAGUGAUCUUCUGCCUGAAGUCAUAUUUGUUGGGUUGAUCCCAGUGUAUUGUUUUUAACAAUGUGACAUCUGAUUAUAACACUGCUAAGCAUGG